rnacentral:snRNA from 2 species
GUGCUCACUUUGGCAGCACAUAUACUAAAAUUGGCACGAUAAAAGAUUAGCAUGGCCCCUGCGCAAGGAUGAUGAGCAAAUUCAUGAGGCAUUCCAUAUUUUU